GAUGAACGCUGGCGGCGUGCCUAAUACAUGCAAGUCGAGCGAACGGACGAGAAGCUUGCUUCUCUGAUGUUAGCGGCGGACGGGUGAGUAACACGUGGAUAACCUACCUAUAAGACUGGGAUAACUUCGGGAAACCGGAGCUAAUACCGGAUAAUAUUUUGAACCGCAUGGUUCAAAAGUAAAAGACGGUCUUGCUGUCACUUAUAGAUGGAUCCGCGCUGCAUUAGCUAGUUGGUAGGGUAACGGCUUACCAAGGCAACGAUGCAUAGCCGACCUGAGAGGGUGAUCGGCCACACUGGAACUGAGACACGGUCCAGACUACUACGGGAGGCAGCAGUAGGGAAUCUUCCGCAAUGGGCGAAAGCCUGACGGAGCAACGCCGCGUGAGUGAUGAAGGUCUUCGGAUCGUAAAACUCUGUUAUUAGGGAAGAACAUAUGUGUAAGUAACUGUGCACAUCUUGACGGUACCUAAUCAGAAAGCCACGGCUAACUACGUG
rnacentral:rRNA from 1 species